rnacentral:lncRNA from 1 species
CUGCAGCCCAUUGUUGGACUUCAACGUGGCCAUAGACUGGUACACCGGAACGCCAUGGUACUCGAGCAGCGCCGCCUUCCCGGCCCUGGUUAAGUUCUUGAACUUUGGCAGGAAAGCCUUGAAGGCGUCGUCCAUCGGGCAGAACACGGUCAGCCCGCCGCCGACAUUGUCCUCGUAGGUCUUGAAGGCGUCCGGGUUGGCGAGCAGCGUGUCGGCGAAGACCUUGCAGCCGUGGGCGGACAUGAUGCUGGUGAUGUUCAGCUCGGCGGGGCCCGGUGCCGGGGCCUCGGCGGCCUGGCUGGGGAGGAUGGAGCUGAUGUGGAUAACGGAAAUGU